UCGGGAAUUUUGGGCAAUGGGCGAAAGCCUGACCCAGCAACGCCGCGUGAAGGAUGAAGUAUUUCGGUAUGUAAACUUCGAAAGGAUAGGAAGAAUAAAUGACGGUACUAUUUAUAAGGUCCGGCUAACUACGUGCCAGCAGCCGCGGUAAUACGUAGGGACCAAGCGUUGUUCGGAUUUACUGGGCGUAAAGGGCGCGUAGGCGGCAAUUCAAGUCAUCUGUGAAAUCUCCGGGCUUAACUCGGAACGGUCAGAUGAUACUGCUUUGCUAGAGUGCAGAAGGGGCAAUCGGAAUUCUUGGUGUAGCGGUGAAAUGCGUAGAUAUCAAGAGGAACACCUGAGGUGAAGACGGGUUGCUGGGCUGACACUGACGCUGAGACGCGAAAGCGUGGGGAGCAAACAGGAUUAGAUACCCAUGUAGUCCCUGAGCGGGCUGGCAAGGCGCAU
rnacentral:rRNA from 1 species